rnacentral:tmRNA from 2 species
ACCCUUUUCAUCUGCUCCGGAAAAGAUUAUAAGGGUCUUCGCUGAAUGCAAAUUCAGAUAUGGCGAUAAACACCACUCGGCAUAGGCGGUACGGACCCGGGGGCGGUACCCGGCGCCUCCACCAUAUAUGGGGGCGAAACAGAAUCGACGUACGCAGUAAGGGUGUGGCUUUUGCCCGGCAUGAUACCACCGUUAUCGGGUCAAUCGCAUAGAUGCCAACGACAACUAUGCUCCGGUGGCGCUGGCUGCGUAAGCAGCUCGUUCUAUCGGGACUAAGUCCUUUUUCCCUAGCAGGAUAAGGCGGGGCCCGGGGGCGCCUGGCAACAGAAGCCCCCACU